GGACCCUACUGCUAUCGGGAUAAGACUAAAACAUGCUAGUUGUGCGCACCCAAGCUAUGUUGGGAGCGCAGCGAACGGCUCCGUAACACGUAGUCAAUCUAACCUUAGGACGGGAAUAACCCCGGGAAACUGGGGCUAAUACCUGAUAGGCGAAAAAGUCUGGAAUGACUUUUCACUGAAAGAGUCUUAGGAACAUGCUCCUUUUACUGCCUAAGGAUGAGACUGCGACCGAUCAGGUUGUUGGUGGGGUAACGGCCUACCAAGCCUAUAACCGGUACGGGCCCUGAGAGGGGGAGCCCGGAGAUGGGAACUGAGACAAGGUCCCAGACCCUACGGGGUGCAGCAGUUGCGAAAACUCUACAAUACACGAAAGUGUGAUAGGGUUAUCCCGAGUGCCGUCCGAUGAGGAUGGCUUUUACUUGGUGUAAGGAGCCAGGGGAAUAAAGGGGGGGCAAGACUGGUGU
rnacentral:rRNA from 1 species